AGGCCCCGCCCAUCGGCGCCCGCCCGCCAGCCCCGAGUGGCGCGCUCUGGUCUAGGGGAGCGCGAUGGGUGGGUGGCUCUGCCCACCUCUGCCCGUGGGCGUGCCCGUCCUUCCGGCCUAGCGAGAGUCGUGAACGCCGCCCCGCAUCCCCCUAGUGUUCCCCAGACGAGCUCGAGCCAUUGUCGGUGCUCGCGUGCACACUAACCAAGAGUCCCCAUCCCGAGGAAAAAUAUGAGACUUGGGGUGAGCAGCCUGCCCGGCUCCAACAGGAGCCCCCCAGCGAAAAAGGGAGCCCUGGUCCUGCCUCGGGGCCGGAGUCACUGUCUGAAGAGACCAGAGAAGACCCCGAAAAGUCCCAGGGCAGGGGCUCAAAUGCCGGCGCAGUCCCUAGUGGGAGAGGAUGUAGAGGGGGCGGGGAGGCAGGGGGGUCUCCGAGGGAAGUUGGUUCAUUCAUUUCGCAAACGUUUCUUGAUGCCUACUGUGUAGUAGGCUCUGGGGGCGCAGAGACGAGGUUUAAGGUGGGUUUAGAAGUCAGAGGGUUGAGGCAACCUUUUCUUCCUACCCCUCAGCUGUUACAAUUUAGGAAGGGUUUGACCCAGAUUAUGCUGCUGUUCCUGGUGUUCCUGUGCUUGCAUAACAGAUUUGGGACGACCCCAGCGAAUCGCUCCACCCAUCUUACUUAAUCAGGAUUAGUGGACCACGUAAAAGAAUUUAUCCAAGCCUGGAAGAGCUCCUCCUCGUUGCAAAUGUUCGAUCAAUAUUCGUAACAAGAGCAAUAGUCACUUGAGCUCUUUGUGCUCAACAAAUUGAGCUCGCUUCAAAUUCUCCGUGUAUAAAAUGAGCAUCUUUGCGCCAGAUGUUCUGGAAAGGUACUUCUAGUGCUCACAUCCGAGAAUAAUAGCUAUUGCUGGCUGACUCCGACCUGAUUAAGUCACCAGGCACAGUGCCUCGCCUCUCCAGGCCAAGACCAAAUCUGGACAAUACGGAGAAAAACAAAUACCAAGAGUUUUCGAAAGAAGAUGGUUCUCAGAUAAGUUCUUCAGACGAAGAAGAGUUGCAAUCAAGGAGCCUUAUCCUCCUGAAUCUGAUUUUGAUGAGAUCUUGAUAUUCAAGCCAAGUCCAUGAAAGAUACCUGAAUUGUGGUGGCUAGAAUGGGAUGAGGACUGUAGUGGAUAGUCUCCAAGAUGGCUGUCACAAACUCUGUCCCUCCCUAAAGAUCCAUCCGCUUCUUCAUAUCAAGAGGUGAAGUCUAAUUCCCCUACUCUUGGAUAUGAGCUAGACUUAGUGACUUGUUUGGCCAAUAGAAUGUGGGAGAAGUGAUAUGCUGGGACUUCUAAGACCAGGUCAUAAAAGUUUUACAACUUUCAUCUGGAUUUCUUGGAAUUCUCACUCUUGGAAACUUGUUGCCAUGCUGUGAGAAACUAAAGCCAUAUGGAAAGGCCACAUGGAGAGAGAACAAUGCUGGCCAGACCCCAGCUGUUUCAACCAUACCAGCCCAGACAUCAGAAAUGUGAGUGAAGGAGCCAUCUUGGACAUUCUAAUCCCGGUAGACACUACAUGGGGAAGAACUGAAACCCCAGACGUAUGACCCCAGUCAAGCUGUCCCUGCCAUUUCCAGCCAUUUGAGCCAACCCAGCUGAGGCCCCAGACAUUGGGAAGCAAAACCAAACCAUACCCCCAUGGCCUGCCCAAACUUCCCACCUACUGAAUCAUGAGCAUAAUA
rnacentral:lncRNA from 1 species